rnacentral:rRNA from 1 species
UAGGCGUAAAUGAUGCGAGUUAAGUGUGGGGGCAUCUACGAGAUGGCCCUGUGCUGUAGGGUAGCCGUUAAACUCGCUGCCUGGGGAGUACGGUCGCAAGGCUGAAACUUAAAGGAAUUGGCGGGGGAGCACCACAAGAGGUGGAGGCUGCGGUUUAAUUGGAUUCAACGCCGGAGAUCUCACCAGGGGCGACAGCAGUAUGAUGGCCAGGUUGAUGGCCUUGCUUGACAAGCUGAGAGGUGGUGCAUGGCGUCAGUGACU